GGUUGACCUCGGAUCAGGUAGGGAUACCCGCUGAACUUAAGCAUAUCAAUAAGCGGAGGAAAAGAAACCAACCGGGAUUGCCUCAGUAACGGCGAGUGAAGCGGCAAGAGCUCAAAUUUGAAAUCUGGCCCCCUCGGGGUCCGAGUUGUAAUUUGCAGAGGAUGCUUCGGGUGCGGCCCCCGUCUAAGUGCCCUGGAACGGGCCGUCAUAGAGGGUGAGAAUCCCGUCUGGGACGGGGUGUCCGCGUCCGUGUGAAGCUCCUUCGACGAGUCGAGUUGUUUGGGAAUGCAGCUCUAAAUGGGUGGUAAAUUUCAUCUAAAGCUAAAUACUGGCCGGAGACCGAUAGCGCACAAGUAGAGUGAUCGAAAGAUGAAAAGCACUUUGAAAAGAGAGUUAAAAAGCACGUGAAAUUGUUGAAAGGGAAGCGCUUGCGACCAGACUCGCCCGCGGGGUUCAGCCGGCAUUCGUGCCGGUGUACUUCCCCGUGGGCGGGCCAGCGUCGGUUUGGGCGGCCGGUCAAAGGCCCCCGGAAUGUAGUGCCCCUACGGGGGCACCUUAUAGCCGGGGGUGCAAUGCGGCCAGCCUGGACCGAGGAACGCGCUUCGGCACGGACGCUGGCAUAAUGGUUGCAAACGACC
rnacentral:rRNA from 2 species